UGAUAAUUAGUUUAAACUAAAACAAAUGAUUUCGACUCAUUAAAUUAUAGCUUGCCCUAUAAUUAUCAA
rnacentral:tRNA from 1 species